UGGGGAAUAUUGGACAAUGGGGGAAACCCUGAUCCAGCGACGCCGCGUGUGUGAAGAAGGCCUGCGGGUUGUAAAGCACUUUCGGUGGGAACGAAAUGUGCCGGGCUAAUAUCCCGGCAAGCUGACGUUACUCAAUGAAGAAGCACCGGCUAACUCUGUGCCAGCAGCCGCGGUAAUACGUAGGGACCAAGCGUUGUUCGGAUUUACUGGGCGUAAAGGGCGCGUAGGCGGCAUGACAAGUCACUUGUGAAAUCUCUGGGCUUAACCCAGAACGGCCAAGUGAUACUGUCGCGCUAGAGUGCAGAAGGGGCAAUCGGAAUUCUUGGUGUAGCGGUGAAAUGCGUAGAUAUCAAGAGGAACACCUGAGGUGAAGACGGGUUGCUGGGCUGACACUGACGCUGAGGCGCGAAAGCCAGGGGAGCAAACGGGAUUAGAUACCCAAGUAGUCCCUGAGCGGGCUGGCAAGGCGCAU
rnacentral:rRNA from 1 species